CUUCCAGUAGCACCUUAGAGACCAACUAAGUUUGUUAUUGGUAUGAGCUUUCGUGUGCAUGCACACUUCUUCAGUAUUUGAAUUACAAACUUAGUUGGUCUCUAAGGUGCUACUGGAAG